GAUGGAGUAAAAGCCUUUUUGAAAAGAGGGUUAAACAGCACGUGAAAUUGUUAAAAGGGGAAGCGCUUGUGACCAGACUUGCGUUUGGUGAAUCACCCAGCUCUCGCGGCUGGGGCACUUCGCCGGCUCAGGCCAGCAUCAGCUCGCUGUCGGGGACAAAAGCUUCAGGAACGUAGCUCUCUUCGGGGAGUGUUAUAGCCUGUUGCAUAAUACCCUUCGGCGGGCUGAGGUACGCGCUCCGCAAGGAUGCUGGGAUAAGGGUCAUCAGCGACCCGUCUUGAAACACGGACCAAGAGGGGUGGGGGGGG
rnacentral:rRNA from 1 species